rnacentral:tRNA from 1 species
AGGCUCGUAGCUCAGGCGGUUAGAGCGCACGCCUGAUAAGCGUGAGGUCGGUGGUUCGAGUCCACUCGGGCCUA